UACGUAGGGUGCGAGCGUUGUCCGGAAUUAUUGGGCGUAAAGGGCUCGUAGGCGGUUUGUCACGUCGGGAGUGAAAACUCGGGGCUCAACCCCGAGCCUGCCUCCGAUACGGGCAGACUAGAGGUAUGCAGGGGAGAAUGGAAUUCCUGGUGUAGCGGUGAAAUGCGCAGAUAUCAGGAGGAACACCGGUGGCGAAGGCGGUUCUCUGGGCAUUACCUGACGCUGAGGAGCGAAAGUGUGGGGAGCGAACAGG
rnacentral:rRNA from 1 species